rnacentral:rRNA from 1 species
UGGGGAAUAUUGCACAAUGGGCGCAAGCCUGAUGCAGCCAUGCCGCGUGUAUGAAGAAGGCCUUCGCGUUGUAUAGUACUUUCUGCGGUUAGUUAGGGAGUAAAGUUAAUACCUUUGCUCAUUGACGUUACCCGCAGCCGAAGCACCGCCUACCUCCGUGCCAGCAGCCGCGGUAAUACGGAGGGUGCAAGCGUUAAUCGGAAUUACUGGGCGUAAAGCGCACGCAGGAGGUUGAUUGAGUCAGAUGUGAAAUCCCCGGGCUUAAACCGGGAAUUGCAUCUGAGAAGGGUCAGCUAGAGUGUUGGAGAGGGGGGUAGAAUUCCAUGUGGAGCGGUGAAAUGCGGAGAGAUGUGGAGGAAUACCGGUGGCGAAGGCGGCCCCAAGGACAAAAAAUAACGAUCAGGUGCGAAAGCGUGGGGAGCAAACAGG